rnacentral:rRNA from 1 species
GAUGAACGCUGGCGGCGUGCUUAACACAUGCAAGUCGAACGGAAAGGCUCCUGCUUGCAGGGGUACUCGAGUGGCGAACGGGUGAGUAACACGUGGGUGAUCUGCCCUGCACUUCGGGAUAAGCCUCGGAAACUGGGUCUAAUACCGGAUAGGACGAUGGUUUGGAUGCCAUUGUGGAAAGUUUUGCGGUGUGGGGUAGGCGCGCGGGCUAUGAGCUUGUUGGUGGGGUAAUGGCCUCACAAGGGGUCGACGGGUCGCCGGCCUGGGAGGGUGUACGGCCACAAUGGGACUGAGGUACGGCCCAGACUCCAACGGGAGGCAGAAGGGGGGAAUAUUGCACAAUGGGGGCAAGCCUGAUGCAGCGACGCCGCGUGGGGAAUGACGGCCUUCGGGUUGUAAACUCCUUUCGCUUGAGACGAAGCGCAAGUGACGGUACCUGGAGAAGAAGCACCGGCUAACUACGUG